rnacentral:rRNA from 1 species
AGCGGCGGACGGGUGAGUAAUGCCUAGGAAUCUGCCUGGNAGUGGGGGAUAACGUUCGGAAACGGACGCUAAUACCGCAUACGUCCUACGGGAGAAAGCAGGGGACCUUCGGGCCUUGCGCUAUCAGAUGAGCCUAGGUCGGAUUAGCUAGUUGGUGAGGUAAUGGCUCACCAAGGCGACGAUCCGUAACUGGUCUGAGAGGAUGAUCAGUCACACUGGAACUGANACACGGNCCAGACUCCUACNGGAGGCAGCAGUGGGGAAUAUUGGACAAUGGGCGAAAGCCUGAUCCAGCCAUGCCNCGUGUGUGAAGAAGGUCUUCGGAUUGUAAAGCACUUUAAGUUGGGAGGAAGGGCAUUNACCUAAUACGUUAGUGUUUUGACGUUNCCGACAGAAUAAGCACCGGCUAACUCUGUGCCAGCAGCCGCGGUAAUACAGAGGGUGCAAGCGUUAAUCGGAAUUACUGNGCGUAAAGCGCGCGUANGUGGUUUGUUAAGUUGGAUGUGAAAUCCCCGGGCUCAACCUGGNAACUGCAUNNNAAACUGACUGACUAGAGUAUGGUA